UCUCGGGUGCUCUGCUCUUGGUUCCCACUGUUCCUGACAUGUUUAAAGAUGUUUGACCCCAACGAUGAGGAAAAGAUGAUUGGCACCAUGUUUCGGAUGAGGCAAGUGAAGUCCCUGUGGGGAAGUGACUUGCCCGAGAUGACACAAGUUAAUACAAAUCAGUUGAAUCUGAAAAACCUCCAUUCCUGUCCUACCCUGACCAUUCACUACACCACAGCUGCCUCUCAGAGCUGAUUGGAGGAACAAAGGAGGGGACUGGCAGAAAGGCCACUGCCAACUGAAAAUCAAUCAACAAAUGUAAGGGAAUGGAAGGGAAAAGAAAGACAAACCUGUAAGUAAAUAAUGGACUCUAGUUAACGACGAGCAUGUUGAAGUAUUUAGAGGGAAGUACCCCAUUGUCUGCAACUUAUUUUGAAAUGUAUCAAGAAAAUAAGCUAGAAUGAUGGACGGAUGGAUGGAUGGAUGAAGAGAUGUGAUAAACAGAUACAGUAAGAUGUUAUAGAAUCUAGGUGGUGGGUAUAUGGGUGUCACCUGUAUAAUCUUCCAAUUUUGCUGCAUGUCUGAAAAUUUUUAUAAUAAAAUAUUGGGGGGGGGACCUAAGUCUGAUCAUGUCUCCUCUGCUCAGAUCCCUUCCAUAGCUCUUCAUCUAGCCCAGAAUAAAAGCCGAAGUCCUGACGAUGGCCUCCAAGCAGGAUGGCCAUACAUUCUGGUUAUGACAGGUUUCACCUGUUAUCUGGGCAUAAUUAUUAAUACAUCCUCUUUUAUUCUCAAAGUUUGAUUGACAUAUUAUGUCCCUGCCGUGCCGAUGAGGCCCUACGUGACCUGACCUCACUUCCCAUUUCUCUCUUCUCCCUGCUUCCCUCUGCCCCAGCCUCACUGAUCUCAUUUCCAGGCACACUCCCCACCCCAGGGCCUUUGCACUGGCUACUCUCCCGGCCUCGAAUGCUCUUCCCUGAGAUAUCUGUAUGGCUCUCUUCCUCACUCCUUCAAGCUUUUCUUCAAAUGUUUCCUCAGUAGGGCCUCUGAUCUUCCUAUUUAAAAUUGCAAUCUGCUCCUUUCCCAUCUCCCUGACUCUUUUUUUACAAAAUACUUGCAACUUCCUACAGAUGAUAUAAUUUAUUGAAGGCAAACUCCACGAAAGCAAAGAUUUUUUUUCCAUUUUGUUUAUGCUUUAUUCCCAGGGCCUAGAAUAGUCCCUAGCAAACAGUAAGUGCACAAUAAAUACAUGUUGCUAUGAAUAAAGGAAUUCUGCCCUCGUUGAGCAGGCAGUCUGGCGCCAAAGAUAGAAGCCAGCACAGACCAUCACAAGGCAAUCCCUGAUGUUCCGUAAGGAGGCAGGGGGCGUGACAACAGAAGUUACUGGGAAGCCAAGGUUAGAAGAAAAAAGAAUGCACCUCCCAGAUGAAGACAGGGUAAGAGGGCACUCCUGGCUGAGCAAACAGCAUGAGCAAAACCCCACAGCCCACAGGACUUUGUCUUAAAACACCCUUUCGUUUUCCGUCCCAAGAAGCCAGCCUCUGAGACCCGCGCUGUGCCUGAGGUCUAUGUUUCCUGCCUGGACCUCAGGAGCGCAGCCCCCCAGCCUUCAGCUGCCCCAGAGCCCCCACUGCUUCAGAGACCCGGGAGUCCAGCCUUCUGGCCUCUCUCACCUCAGCCUCCAGCAACUCCGGAACGGGCUCCUCCUUGGUCAGCAUUGGGGGUUCAUCGGUGCUGCCUGCAUUUAUGCCCCCGGAAUCUGGAACAUCAAGUUAACAGAUACUCCCUGAGCGGCUGCUUUGUGCCCCGCAGCACAGGCCCGGGCUGGCAGACACUGAGGAGGGAGCUGGGAACCUGCCUGCCAGCCAGGAAGAAGCCACAGGAAGGACACAGAAGUGGGAUCUUGACAGGCAAGGAGGAUUCGAUUGGGGAAACAAAUGGGGCACAUUUUCGGCAGACAGAACAUGUGUUGAGUGAGUACGAGAUUCUGAGGCUGGAUCCCUGGGUUCAAAUCCUGACCUUGGGCGAGUGACUUAAUUGCUCUGGGCCUCAGUUGCCCCAUGUGUAAAGUGGGGAGAAUGAUAAGUGAUGACCACACGAGACUGUGGUGAGGAUGAAAUGAGACGAUACAGGCAAAGCCCCUCGUACAGGGUCUGGCCCCCAGUAAGUGCUCACUAAAUCCCCGUUGUUUUUAUCUUAGUGAAGGUGCACAAGCGCGCGGCACAAUCCAGACACGGCCCACAGCCCCCGGUCUUGGAAAGGAACAAGAAGACCAGUAGGGGCAGUUCGCAAAGGGCCCAAAGUGCCCAGGGGAGGAGUCAAAGGUCAUAAGGAACCAUGGAAGGCUCUGAAGCACGACAAUGAGCCUGCCAAAUGCAUG